ensembl:lncRNA novel transcript
UUCGCGAGGCUGCACCCUCAGCAGGCACUGUGGCCACACAGCACUGGCCUGAGAUCUGAGUUCCUGGAGCCUCGGCCCUGAGGCCCAUGAGUCGGGGUCUCACUGUCUUACCUGGGCUGGUCUCAAUCUCCUGGGCUCAAGUGAUCCUCUCAACUCAGCCUCCCAAAGUGCUGAGAUUACAGGCCAUAGAACAAGCCAUUUUCAACAAAAGGACUUGCAAAUUCCUGCCUUAGGGCUCCUUCUGCACAGGACAGACCUUUCAUCACCAACCCAACUUGUAAUCUUGGGUAAAGAAGGUUCUCAGCUCAUUUUCAAGAAGAAAAAAAAAAUGGAAGGAGCUAGCAGCCCCAAAGUACUUCCACUGAAGCCUUUGGAAAAGAGGGAAGACUCCAAGUCUCUGGCACCUGCAGAAGAGGGGAAUCUUGAGAAGUAGCUGACGCUCCGAGUUUACAUGUCCCCUUGAAUACUCUUUAUUCCUGUCUUAUUUCAAAUCCUGGUGUCAUCAGGGUGAUGAAGGGCACUUCUUAGACACUCGACAACAUGGUGGAGGUGAAGAUCUGUUGUAAAAUCUGAGGGAUAUCCUUGGUAUCCAUGGCAACGAAAGACCGACCAGCUGGUAAAGUUCUCUGAAGCCUGCCAGGAUGGAAAGGGAAAGGAAGUUACCACUGUAAAUGGGGCUCCCUUCCACCUCCUGCCCUGGCAAACCACAGCCCCCUAAUGGUUUCUUAGGAAAGGAAGUUUUUACUUUCUAAUACCUUGCUCUCUGCCUACCAUUGAAUUAGUCGUCAUUAAACAAUGAAAGGCUUGGAAGAGCAACAAGGAAAGACACAGCAAAAGCAGGGAACUGAAAGAAAGGUCUUUUCAGUGAGAAAGUCAGUGAAUUUGAAAAGAAAAAAUUUUCUUCCUUUCUUUACUGCCAUUUCUUGGUAUUUCAUAUUCUUUUGGUAUAACAGAGCCAUAGGGAUUCAUAUGGAAUCAGCUCACCUCCCGGGUCUAGCAAAUAUGUUGACCUUACACUGUAUUUCGAAGUGCUUUUCCUUCCUUAGAAAACAGGCCUCUAAAAACGCUGCGCAGCCAAACCCUGAGUGGUUCUUUCUCUCUUUCUUUGCCUCUCUCUCUUUUUUUUGGUCCACAUCACACAAUGUGAAAUGCGAUCUGGAUUGUCCAAUUACUGCUUCAAUGACACUGAGGUUAUACAGGCUUAUGAAAUUUUUUCCAACUCAUUUUUAAGUGAAUUUUAAAAAACUUAUAAUGGGUUUUGAUUUGAAUUAUCCUUAAAAAUAACAUGUCAUUGAAGUUACGAUACUUUUUUAAAUACUAAUUUAUAAUUUGGAACAAAAGGCCAUUUUGAAGGCAACAAAACUGUAAGACACAGUUCUCUUCAAAAGAACGCCUCCUUUCACUGUGCCAGUGAAGUCUGGCUUUGGAAUGACAUUUAAUAAAAUUCAACCAUCCUGUGUAGUAUCGUAUAUUUGGCAUGCCUGGUAAGCCAGCUAAUUCUGCAACAUAUCUUUUGCCAGUGGAUGUUGGACCAUUUCCCUAGGAAACCACAAGGGUAUUAUUGUGCUUUCUUAAGUAUUCAAACAGGAUCUGUUCACUAGAAAGACAAAAUAGCCAUUUCAUCUCAACUAGUAUUUGUUGAGCUUGUUGUCUGCCUAAUACUGGGCUGAUGCUGAGGAAAACCUGGGUGGAAAAGGCAUAGUUUGUGUUUGAGGAUGUGGAGGUUCUAAAAGAUGCAAAGUGCUAACUUGUAAAAACUAAGAAGAAUGAAAAGUCAUGUCAUAAAAUGACUGUAACUACAUGAUAUUAAGUCUGUUCUCAACCUCGCUCUGCAACCUUACAGCAAGGCAAAGGGAAUAGAAAGAGAAAAAGCUGCUAGCAUUUUGGAUAUUAAAACAUUUCCAGUCACAGAGUAUGAAAAGUAAAAGGGGUGGAAUAACAAAAACGUAGGCCCUUUGUGCUUUAGGCAGGGAUUUUUUUUUUUUUUUUUAAGAUUACUUUCACUGGUGUUUUAUGUUUCUUACAGGUAUUUUAAACACAGAAAAACCAUGAGCUCUUUCUGUUUGUAAUUCAAAAAGAUA